AUGUCAGAUGUUCCUGACACAACACAUACCCCUCCACAUGUCACUUUUCGACAAAACCUACACUCGAUUUCACCUUUGGGGCUAUCUGCUAUGGUUUCAUCUUCGCAUCCUUCCCCUGAACAGUUAUCAUCUCUUGAUGUUAACAGUGCUACUGAUACUUUCUGCUCCACUUUUUCGUCUUGUUUAUACACUGUCUGCCCCUUGUCUUCCAGGCCAGAUCGUACCACUUCUUCUGCCCCUUGGCUAUCUGAUGUUCUCCGUGAAUAUUGUUCUAAGCUCAGAGCUGCAGGAAGAGUAUGGCACAAAUCACAAAAUCAUACUGACCUUAAUGUAUAUCGAUCUCUCCUCUCUUCAUUCUCUGUAUAUGUGUCCACUGCUAAAAGGACAUACUAUCACAACAAAAUUAACAAUUCACCUAACUCUUGCAUGCUCUUUAACACAUUUUCCUCCCUUCUUUAUCCUCCUUCUCCAUCAACUCUAACAACACAUUCUUCUUUAAUAAAAUUACAAACCUCAAUGCACAAUUUGAAACACAUCUUACCAGCAAACAUACUCAUUUUCAUCCUUCUCUCCACUCUCUGAGGCAGAAGUCUCUAAACUCACCCUUUCCAAUCAUCCUUCUACUUGUCUGCUUGAUCCUAUUCCAUUUCAUCUCCUUCAAGCCAUUUAUCCUUGUACCUUUCUACCAUUGUACCUGCACUCACUCACAUCGUUAAUACAUCCCUUCACACUGGUGUUUUUCCCUCAACAUUUAUUAACAUGGUCAAACUUACAAAAUCAGCAGGGGAUCAAAUAAAUAUUUUGCCCACUGUAUGUGGCGGAGCUUCUUACCUGCUGUCAUCAAAGUCCCUCAGACCAGUAAACACUUAUGGAAUGUUUCUGGGGUGGUCUGGACGAGAGCAUUGCCCAACUAAUGCUAGGGGGCGAGCCCAGGUGGACCCUGGCAGAAUAUACAGAUUUGGCCCGGUUGCUUAGUAGAUCCCCUCUCAGCGUUGCCAGCCCAGAAUCAUCACCCAUCAUAGGGUGCCAACUUGGAAUCAUCACCUAUCAUGGCCACCAGCCCAGCCCACCAUCACACCGCUGCGCGGAGCAGAAGCCAGAGACCACCGAUGAGGGAGAGCCUGAGCCCACCACAACCGACAAGCCAUUGCAUAAUGGGGCGCCAGAGCUGAGGAUCAUCGUGGAGCCAGAACAUGUGCCGUCAGACCAGGUGUGAGAGCCGGCUACAGAGCUUGCCAUGGAGGAGAAGUCUAUUGAUCAUCAGCACCGAAGGCAUCACAGUUUUCGCAAAUAUGGCCUGAUACUUAAAGAAAAUUUAUGAUGUUUUUCAUACAGAUUUCCAAGUUAGACACCCCCAUAACAAGUCUGGUGCUAUUCUGCUCAUGAGCUUUUUCUUUUUUGUAGCCAUCUUCUUGUAGCCAUACUCUCUAAUGUAAUCAUCUCUAUAGAUUUUGUGAGAGCACUUUUGACUUUGGCCAUAUUUGCUAAUCAAUUUUAGCACAUGCAUGCACUAAAUUUAUGUAUGUUUAACAACUAAAGUUGCACAAUUUUGUACCCUACCCUACAAAUAAGACUUAAA
ensembl:lncRNA